AACUGGUUUUAGCUUCGUUG
rnacentral:miRNA from 1 species